GCUCAACCGGGGAGGGUCAUUGGAAACUGGGGAACUUGAGUGCAGAAGAGGAGAGUGGAAUUCCACGUGUAGCGGUGAAAUGCGUAGAGAUGUGGAGGAACACCAGUGGCGAAGGCGACUCUCUGUCUGUAACUGACGCUGAGGCGCGAAAGCGUGGGGAGCGAACAGGAUUAGAUACCCUGGUAGUCCACGCCGUAAACGAUGAGUGCUAAGUGUUAGAGGGUUUCCGCCCUUUAGUGCUGCAGCAAACGCAUUAAGCACUCCGCCUGGGGAGUACGGUCGCAAGACUGAAACUCAAAGGAAUUGACGGGGGCCCGCACAAGCGGUGGAGCAUGUGGUUUAAUUCGAAGCAACGCGAAGAACCUUACCAGGCCUUGACAUCCUCUGACAACCCUAGAGAUAGGGCUUCCCCUUCGGGGGCAGUGUGACAGGUGGUGCAUGGUUGUCGUCAGCUCGUGUCGUGAGAUGUUGGGUUAAGUCCCGCAACGAGCGCAACCCUUGAUCUUAGUUGCCAGCAUUCAGUUGGGCACUCUAAGGUGACUGCCGGUGACAAACCGGAGGAAGGUGGGGAUGACGUCAAAUCAUCAUGCCCCUUAUGACCUGGGCUACACACGUGCUACAAUGGGCAGAACAAAG
rnacentral:rRNA from 1 species